AGUCUGCAGUCCUGUCCUGAGGGUGGCGCCCGCCAGGAGUCAGGCACAGGCCGCAUAGGGAUGGCUGGGGUGCGUGGAGACUGUCCAGCCCUCUUUCUUCCUGGCACCCUGUCCUUUCCUGCUGGAGUCUCACUGGCUCUCCUCACCAGCCCCUGAGGUCGAGACUUUCCUGGCCUGUAAGUCAGGUCUGUAGAUGCCAGCACUGCGGCCUGGGGCCCAAGCAGCGUGUGCCUCUGCUGGUCUUCUCUCACCUUGCCUCACUCAGGACGCGUGCAAGCAGACCCAGACGCCUGUCCCGUCGGGCAGGCCUGGGCGCAGAGCGAGAGGCGGAGAGCUCUGAGGCCUGUUUACACGCAGACCAACCACGAGAUAAUUGCAUGUCCCUCCUGCCUGCUCAUUAAACUCGCCCGAGAGACCCCUGCUAGA